rnacentral:rRNA from 1 species
AGAGUUUGAUCUGGCUCAGGAUGAACGCUAGCUACAGGCUUAACACAUGCAAGUCGAGGGGCAGCAUAUUAUAGCAAUAUAAAUGAUGGCGACCGGCGCACGGGUGAGUAACACGUAUCCAACCUGCCGUUUACUCGGGGAUAGCCUUUCGAAAGAAAGAUUAAUACCCGAUGGCAUAUAUUGAUUUCAUGGUCUUUAUAUUAAAGAAUUUCGGUAAACGAUGGGGAUGCGUUCCAUUAGGCAGUUGGCGGGGUAACGGCCCACCAAACCUACGAUGGAUAGGGGUUCUGAGAGGAAGGUCCCCCACAUUGGAACUGAGACACGGUCCAAACUCCUACGGGAGGCAGCAGUGAGGAAUAUUGGUCAAUGGGCGUAGGCCUGAACCAGCCAAGUAGCGUGAAGGAUGACUGCCCUAUGGGUUGUAAACUUCUUUUAUAAGGGAAUAAAGUGGAGUAUGUAUACUCUUUUGUAUGUACCUUAUGAAUAAGGAUCGGCUAACUCCGUGCCAGCAGCGGC